rnacentral:misc_RNA from 1 species
AGCAAGGCGAUCGACAUCAACCCGGGGCAGCUCAAGUGCUGCAGCAACUGCAACUUCUCCUUCUCGGGGCUCUACACCUGCGACGACAUCGUCAAGAAAUGCGACCCUGUCUGCAAGAAAUGCGCCGUCGUCAAGACCUACCCUGUGAAGAUGUUCAAGUGCACCGACACCUUCCUCGGCAUGUGCGGCCCUCCCUGCAAGCACUGAUCGAUCGAUCGAUCGAUGAUGACCUGAAUAAUGCAUGAACGCG